AGUUAUGGCCAUACCACCCUGAAUGUGUCGAAUCUCAUCUGGUCUUGGAAGCUAAGCAGGGUCUGACCUGGUUAGUAUUUGGAUGGGAGACAAAUCUUCAGAAGAGACGGCUC
rnacentral:rRNA from 1 species